rnacentral:tRNA from 1 species
GCGCCCGUAGCUCAAUGGAUAGAGCACUAGCCUCCGGAGCUAGGGGUUAGGAGUUCGAGUCUCCUCGGGCGCGCCA